rnacentral:rRNA from 1 species
CGCGUAGGCGGCAAGGCAAGUCAGAUGUGAAAUCCCCGGGCUCAACCUGGGAAUUGCAUCUGAAACUGCAGUGCUUGAGUCCUGGAGGGGAUAGUGGAAUUCCCAGCGUAGCGGUGAAAUGCGUAGAUAUUGGGAGGAACACCUGCGGCGAAGGCGGCUAUCUGGACAGUGACUGACGCUGAUGCGCGAAAGCCAGGGGAGCGAACG